rnacentral:rRNA from 1 species
UAGCGUAGGGUGCAAGCCGUUGUCCGGAAUCGAUUGGGCGUAAAGAGCGUGUAGGCGGCCAGAAAAGUCCGCUGUGAAAACUCGAGGCUCAACUUCGAGCUGUCGGUGGAAACUUCUGGCUAGAGUCCGGAAGAGGAGAAUGGAAUUCCUGGUGUAGCGGUGAAAUGCGCAGAUAUCAGGAAGAACACCCGUGGCGAAGGCGGUUCUCUGGACGGUACUGACGCUGGAGACGCGAAAGCGUGGGAGCGAACGG